AUUGAACGCUGGCGGAAUGCUUUACACAUGCAAGUCGAGCGGCAGCGCGGGGCAACCUGGCGGCGAGCGGCGAACGGGUGAGUAAUGCAUCGGAACGUACCCUGUCGUGGGGGAUAACUAUCCGAAAGGAUAGCUAAUACCGAAUACGAACUGAGGGUGAAAGCGGGGGACCGAAAGGCCUCGCGCGAUGGGAGCGGCCGACGUCGGAUUAGCUAGUUGGUGAGGUAAAGGCCUACCAAGGCGACGAUCCGUAGCGGGUCUGAGAGGACGAACCGCCACACUGGAACUGAGACACGGUCCAGACUCCUACGGGAGGCAGCAGUGGGGAAUUUUGGACAAUGGGCGCAAGCCUGAUCCAGCCAUUCCGCGUGAGUGAAGAAGGCCUUCGGGUUGUAAAGCUCUUUCGGCAGGGAAGAAACGGUGUGGGCUAAUACCCUGCAUUAAUGACGGUACCUGAAGAAGAAGCACCGGCUAACUACGUGCCAGCAGCCGCAGUAAUAC
rnacentral:rRNA from 1 species